ACCAUACCCUCUACUCCACGCACUCAAUGAUGAACUCAACUCGAACACUCCGUCAAACGACUACGCAAGCUCCCAUAACAACAGCUUAUCGGACCACUCAGAGACCUUACCACCCCACUACUCACGUUAAUCCCUUUUAAUCCGUUUAAUCCAAGCACAGCAUCCCCAACCCACCACUAUCUCUACUGGUCAGUCCUUCAGCUGUACCGGCAGAGUGAGCGGAUUCUACGCCGACCCCUCGUCCUGCAUCCACUACUUCAUCUGUGUUGGUGGCAGGAGCUUUGGAGUAGACUGUGCCACGGGUCUACACUUCAAUGCUGCCUCUAAGUACUGCGAUUGGCCGCAAAAUGCACGUUGCCAGGUCCAUCAGCAGUCUGUGGUGACCCCUGCCAGAACGACCCACGCUCCGAUCACCCGUCCCCCCAUAUACACCACUCGCCCUUACUUCUACUUUACCACGCAGCGACCGGUACCCACAACGCAAGCUCAUCAGAUUCCCAAUAUGGGUGCGGGCGCCAAUGCCUUUUGCCAACACAAGGCGGACGGUCUGUACAGCGACCCUAAAGACUGCGGCAUGUUUUACCAGUGUGACAUGAAUCUGGGUUUCCAUGAGCCCUGUCCACCAGGGCCUAGCGUUCAACGAGCCCAUGGCGGAGUGCGACUACCCCUACAAAGUCCCACAAUGCACUCACUACCACCACCCAUAGAAUCUCUACUGAUGUCCACAUACCCACAAUGUUAACUGUUUACGUUUCAAAGUUUGUUAUCAAUAAAACUAUUUUAAGGUG
rnacentral:misc_RNA from 1 species